CCGCGCGCCACCUGAGGAGGGCGGCCGCGGCGGGCGGGAGUUGCGGCGGGGGCGGGCUCUGGCGAGGGGAAGCGUCCGUGAAAGGUUCUGCUGCUCCUCAGGGUAGAGUAAAGAAGAACUGGCCACAGGCCGUCUUGGACAUGUUGUGGAGAAUGAAAGAACAUCAGUGUGACCCUUUUCCUUCUCUCCUGUUGUGAACCUCUUCACAUAUGAGAUAACCUAGUAUAAAUCCUGUAUAGCAGUCUUUAAGCCAAUGGAAUAGGUGCAGAGCUGCAAACUAUCCUCCUUCAAAGCCCUUCUAAAAAGUUUAUUUGUGGUGCCUAC